GGACUGAGACACGGCCCAGACUCCUACGGGAGGCAGCAGUGGGGAAUAUUGCACAAUGGGGGAAACCCUGAUGCAGCGACGCCGCGUGGAGGAAGAAGGUCUUCGGAUUGUAAACUCCUGUUGUUGAGGAAGAUAAUGACGGUACUCAACAAGGAAGUGACGGCUAACUACGUGCCAGCAGCCGCGGUAAAACGUAGGUCACAAGCGUUGUCCGGAAUUACUGGGUGUAAAGGGAGCGCAGGCGGGAGAACAAGUUGGAAGUGAAAUCCAUGGGCUCAACCCAUGAACUGCUUUCAAAACUGUUUUUCUUGAGUAGUGCAGAGGUAGGCGGAAUUCCCGGUGUAGCGGUGGAAUGCGUAGAUAUCGGGAGGAACACCAGUGGCGAAGGCGGCCUACUGGGCACCAACUGACGCUGAGGCUCGAAAGUGUGGGUAGCAAACAGGAUUAGAUACCCUGGUAGUCCACACCGUAAACGAUGAUUACUAGGUGUUGGAGGAUUGACCCCUUCAGUGCCGCAGUUAACACAAUAAGUAAUCCACCUGGGGAGUACGACCGCAAGGUUGAAACUCAAAGGAAUUGACGGGGGCCCGCACAAGCAGUGGAGUAUGUGGUUUAAUUCGACGCAACGCGAAGAACCUUACCAAGUCUUGACAUCCCUUGACGAACAUAGAAAUAUGUUUUCUCUUCGGAGCAAGGAGACAGGUGGUGCAUGGUUGUCGUCAGCUCGUGUCGUGAGAUGUUGGGUUAAGUCCCGCAACGAGCGCAACCCUUAUGGUCAGUUACUACGCAAGAGGACUCUGGCCAGACUGCCGUUGACAAAACGGAGGAAGGUGGGGAUGACGUCAAAUCAUCAUGCCCUUUAUGACUUGGGCUACACACGUACUACAAUGGCGUUAAACAAAGAGAAGCAAGACCGCGAGGUGGAGCAAAACUCAGAAACAACGUCCCAGUUCGGACUGCAGGCUGCAACUCGCCUGCACGAAGUCGGAAUUGCUAGUAAUCGUGGAUCAGCAUGCCACGGUGAAUACGUUCCCGGGCCUUGUACACACCGCCCGUCACACCAUGAGAGCCGGGGGGACCCGAAGUCGGUAGUCUAACCGCAAGGAGGACGCCGCCGAAGGUAAAACUGGUGAUUGGGGUGAAGUCGUAACAAGGUAGCCGUAGGAGAACCUGCGGCUG
rnacentral:rRNA from 1 species